rnacentral:lncRNA from 1 species
AGAUUUAGAGAUCCUUAGAGUAACUAGAGUAUAAGUGAGAGUUUAAGUAGAGAUUAGAAAGAGAUUGUGAAAGAUUAAGAGACUUGAGAGCUGUUUAGUGUCUAAGAGAGAAUCAUGGUGCCUUAAGAGAUUAGAGAGAGACUCAGAACUGUCUGGCUUUAUUAAUGAGUGAGGUUACAUAUUUAUAUUGUUCUAGACAUUAGGGUUUUCGAAACACAAGAGUAGAUAAGCAUGUGAGGUCAAGGGAGGAGCCUUUGCUUUUGUUUGAACCGGCCAAUGACUGUCCUCACACGUUCGGGCAUCUUCCUGAUCCAAGUCCAAGAUGCUCUUCCUUUCCAGCCCUUGCCAGC